rnacentral:rRNA from 1 species
UACGUAGGGUGCAAGCGUUAAUCGGAAUUACUGGGCGUAAAGCGUGCGCAGGCGGCUAUGCAAGACAGAUGUGAAAUCCCCGGGCUCAACCUGGGAAUUGCGAUGGAGACUGCAAGGCUAGAAUCUGGCAGAGGGGGGUAGAAUUCCACGUGUAGCAGUGAAAUGCGUAGAGAUGUGGAGGAACACCGAUGGCGAAGGCAGCCCCCUGGGUCAAGAUUGACGCUCAUGCACGAAAGCGUGGGGAGCAAACAGG